AAUAUAGGGAUUCAUUGAGAUUCAAAAAUGGGAUGGAGCAAUCCUUAUUUCGGACGUAGGAUGAACUGAAAAAGUUCUGCAUCAUUAACUAUGUAAGAUGCACAUCAGCAUCAAUUAGAUAUCUGGUUAAGAAAAAGAAAAAGUACGAUUAAAUACAAAGAAAUGGACCAGAUUUUUGAAUAAUGUAUCUCAGAUCAAUUUUGACUAUUCUCACCUAUGAACUCCCCUAGAUUCCACUUUUUGGUCUUUCAACCAUCUAAUUUAACCAUUUGAAUAUUGUUUCAAUUGAAAUAUUAACAUUCGUUAUUGCAGCGCACAAAAAAUAGAAACAAACUUGAAUCAUUCAUUUUCAGACUUCCUUUUGAUACCUAGAAUAUACAUCUAUUUGAAUAAUGUAUCUCAGAUCAAUUUUGACUAUUCUCACCUAUGAACUCCCCUAGAUUCCACUUUUUGGUCUUUCAACCAACUAAUUUAACCAUUUGAAUAUUGUUUCAAUUGAAAUAUUAACAUUCAUUAUUGCAGCGCACAAAAAAUAGAAACAAACUUGAAUCAUUCAUUUUCAGACUUCCUUUUGAUACCUAGAAUAUACAUCUAUUCAUUCUUCAUCUAGAAAGAGCAUAUCUCCGUACACCUACAUAAAUUAUAUAGGAUGAUUAAGACCACUAAUAAAUAUCUAUCUAUUCCCCCAAUUUUUGAAAAGAAAUAUGGGAAUAGAUACUCAUACAUAAUGAGUCGCCGGGAACCAGAUUUGAACUGGUGACACGAGGAUUUUCGGUCCUCUGCUCUACCAGCUGAGCUAUCCCGACCAUUCUUGACGCACCAUCCUAAUUUUAAGAAAUUACUUGAGUCUAUGUCAACUAAAUCAAAAAAGGGCCAUCAAAAUGAGGGAAUUUAAUUGGCUAUUCAUUCUUCAUCUAGAAAGAGCAUAUCUCCGUACACCUACAUAAAUUAUGUAGGAUGAUUAAGACCACUAAUAAAUAUCUAUCUAUUCCCCCAAUUUUUGAAAAGAAAUAUGGGAAUAGAUACUCACACAUAAUGAGUCGCCGGGAACCAGAUUUGAACUGGUGACACGAGGAUUUUCAGUCCUCUGCUCUACCAGCUGAGCUAUCCCGACCAUUCUUGACGCACCAUCCUAAUUUUAAGAAAUUACUUGAGUCCAUGUCAACUAAAUCAAAAAAGGGCCAUCAAAAUGAGGGAAUUUAAUUGGCUUUUGGGGAUAGAGGGACUUGAACCCUCACGAUUUCUAAAGUCGACGGAUUUUCCUCUUACUAAAAAUUUCAUUGAUGUUGGUAUUGACAUGUAGAAUGGGACUCUAUCUUUAUUCUCGUCUGAUUAAUCAGUUAUUCAAAAGAUCCAUCAGAUUAUGGUGGAGUGACUGAUUUGAGCAAUGAAUAUUCAGUCAUUUUUUCUUCCAGUUAUAAUUGAUUCUAAUGUUUCCAUUGUGAUAGAAUCAAAAUAGUUACAAAUAGAAGUUAGAAAUCUUCAUUAAUCAAUUGAAUGUUGUCAACUCCAUUUGUUAGAACAGCUUCCAUUGAGUCUCUGCACCCAUCCUUUUUUGAUUUUCACUUUCUGAACUUUUAUUUGUUUUCAGAAAGAAGGAUUUGGCUCAGGAUUGCCCAUUUUGAAUUCCAGGGUUUCUCUGAAUUUGAAAGUUUUCACUUGGUAAGUUUCCAUAUCGUCUGAUUAAUCAGUUAUUCAAAAGAUCCAUCAGAUUAUGGUGGAGUGACUGAUUUGAGCAAUGAAUAUUCAGUCAUUUUUUCUUCCAGUUGUAAUUGAUUCUAAUGUUUCCAUUGUGAUAGAAUUAAAAUAGUUACAAAUAGAAGUUAGAAAUCUUCAUUAAUCAAUUGAAUGUUGUCAACUCCAUUUGUUAGAACAGCUUCCAUUGAGUCUCUGCACCUAUCCUUUUUUGAUUUUCACUUUCUGAACUUUUAUUCGUUUUCAGAAAGAAGGAUUUGGCUCAGGAUUGCCCAUUUUGAAUUCCAGGGUUUCUCUGAAUUUGAAAGUUUUCACUUGGUAAGUUUCCAUACCAAGGCUCAAUCCAAUUAAGUCCGUAGCGUCUACCGAUUUCGCCAUAUCCCCCGUUUUUUCUUUGAGAUUGAUAUCAUAUCGCAUUAGGCUGUUUUUUUCAUUUGUUUGUAUUAUGAGUAUUAUGAGAAUAAUAUGCUGGAACUGUUGAAUUUAUUCGAAACCAUUUCGCCAUAUCCCCCGUUUUUUCUUUGAGAUUGAUAUCAUAUCGCAUUAGGCUGUUUUUUUCAUUUGUUUGUAUUAUGAGUAUUAUGAGAAUAAUAUGCUGGAACUGUUGAAUUUAUUCGAAACCUCCACUCAUAUUGGGUGGGGGAAAAUUUCCUUCUAUUUGUUUUUUCUUGAUUGAUUUUCUUUCAUCGAUAUCAGAUACCCAUAAUUUAGUCGAAUCAGAAAUGAUUCUAUUAUCUCUGUAUUCGCAAUUCGAUAUACAGAGAUAUAUACUACAUAUAUCUCUAUCUUAGAUGUCUCCCCUUCUAUUCUUUUUUGAUAGAAUUUAGAAUACUCUAACGUUCGAUUCUUUUUUUCCUUCGAGCAGACAGAUACAGACCUUAAAAUAACAAAACGAAAAUUAUUAAAAUCUAUUUAUUAAUUUAUAAUUCGACAUUUAUUUAGAAAUUCAAUAGAAAGAUCUAAUUUUUAAUUACUUAUCCAAUCCAAUUUCUUUUGAUAAUCCAUCCAAAUAUAUAUAUAUAUAUAAGUAAAUUUAUCAAACUUCAGCAAAGAAUGUCGUUUAUCUCAAAACAUAAAAUCCUAACAUCUCUCCAUUUCACAUCCAACGAACUCGUCUCUCUUCUUCUUCCACAAAACUCGUAACAUCUCUCUCUUCCAUAUCCAGCGAUCUCGUCUCUCUUCUUCUUCCACAAACUAGUCUUCUUUUUCGUACUAAAAGGUUAUCAAGUUAAACAUUUUUCUUAUUUAUCGGUUCCUUCUAUUUGUUUUUUCUUGAUUGAUUUUCUUUCAUCUAUAUCAAAUACCCAUAAUUUAGUCGAAUCAGAAAUGAUUCUAUUAUCUCUGUAUUCGCAAUUCAAUAUACAGAGAUAUAUACUACAUAUAUCUCUAUCUUAGAUGUCUCCCCAUCUAUUCUUUUUUGAAAAAAUUUAGAAUACUCUAUUCUUUUUUUCCUUCGAGGAGACAGAUACAAACCUUAUAAUAACAAAACGGAAAUUAUUAAAAUCUAUUUAUUAAUUUAUAAUUCGACAUUUAUUUAGAAAUUCAAUAGAAAGAUCUAAUUUUAAUUACUUAUCCAAUCCAAUUUCUUUUGAUAAUCCAUCCAAUUUUUUAGAAUUCGAAUGGAUAUGUAUAAAUCGAUAUGGAUAUAUUAUAUGUAUAAAAUAAAAGACAUUCUACAUAUUUCAUCUUAAUGCAUAAUCAUUACAGAANGUUACGGAUUCGAUCCGUAUAGACCUAAUUAAUACCGAUAUACUCAGAUUUCUAUUUAUUAUCUCAUAUCUGUUCAUUACAAAUAGAUUUCUAAUAAUACUAUAUUUAUUAUAUUUAGUACAUAUUGAAUACGAAAUACUAGUAAUUACUAUACUAGUAGUAUAAAUAUACUUGAAAUACUUUUUGGAAUAAAGAAUGAUAAUGAUAUUAGUAUACUCAGAUACUAAUUUCAAUUUUAUAGGAAUAAUGUAACUUAAUAAAAUACAAGCAUUUCAUUUAGAUUAGAUUAAUAUCUAAGAAUUUGAAAAUUUCAAUUCAAAUCGACUAAAAUUAUAUGAAUCCAGUAUAUUUUCCACAUUCAUAGAGGGUACAUUUAUGUUUUUGCUUUAUGAAUAUGAUAUUUUUGGACAUUUCUAUAUAUCGAUCUUGAUUCCUUAUUUGGCAUUUCUCAUUCUGGAAUUUUAGCUCCAAUUAGGAAAGGGCCAGAAACUUUCUAGUUAUGAAUCUGGAAUAGAACCGAUGGGCGAUGCUUGGUUACAAUUUCAAUCCGUUAUUAUAUUUUGCUCUUUUUUGUUGUUUUUGAUGUUGAAACGUCUCUUCUACCCAUGGGCAAUGAUUUGAUGUAUUGGGGGUAUCCGUAUUUCUAGAAGCUUUCAUCUUCGUGCUUAUCCUAAUUGUUGGUUUAGUUUAUGCAUGGCGAAAGGGAGCAUUAGAAAUGGUCUUAUUCUUGAAUAUUUAGACAAUUAAACAAAAAUUGAGACAGUUAUGAAUUCCAUUGAGUUUCCCUUACUUGAUCAAAAACCAAAAAUUCAGUUAUUUCUACUACAUUAAAUGAUCUUUCAAAUUGGUCAGACUAUCCAGUUUAUGGCCGCUUCUGUAUGGUACUAGUUGUUGCUUCAUUGAAUUUGCUUCAUUAAUAGGAUCGCGAUUUGACUUCGAUCGUUAUGGACGGUACCACGCUCUAGUCCUAGGCAGCAGACCUCAUUUAACAGCGGGCACGCCGUAACUAUGAAAAUGGCUCCUUCUUUAGUUCGAUUAUAUGAGCAAAUGCCCGAACCAAAUAUGUUAUUGCUAUGGGAGGCCUGUACAAUACAGGGAGGUAUGUUCAGUACCGAUUCUUAUAGUACUGUUCGGGGCGUGGAUAAGCUAAUUCCUUGUGGUCUAUUUGCCAGGCUGUCCACCUAAACCGGAAGCUGUUAUAGAUGCUAUAACAAAACUUCGUAAGAAAAUAUCUCGAGAAAUCGAUGAAGAUCCAAUUAGUUAUCAACGAGAGAAUAGGCUUUUACUACCAACCACAAUUUUAUGUUGGACGCGAUACUCAUACCGGCAAUUCUAAUCAAGGAUUAUUCUAUCAACCAUCAUCUAUUUCAGAGAUGACCUCUGACACAUUUUUGAAAUAUAAAAAGUUCAGUAUCCUGCGACGAACGAAAAGUGAAUUAAAUAGCAUCCUUUUGUACAAAAACAAUAAGAAAUAGCAAGCAAGUCAUCUUAAAAAAUUUCAUUGUAAUGUAAAUAAAUGGUAAAUACUUAUACCAAUCUGAUAAAAAACUCGGGAGAAGUCAAAAAAUGCAAGUAAUUUGUCUGCUUCGCUAGUCAAACACGGAUAGUUCAUAGAUCUUUGGGUUUGAUUACAAGGAAUAGAGACUUUACAAAUAAAGCCGAGAUUGGCAUUCGAUUGCCGUUAUUUUAUAUGUAUCUGUACAAUUAUCUACGUUCCCAAUGUGCCUAUGAUGUAGCACCAGGAGGACUAUUACGAGGUCUAUCAUCUUACGAGAAUAGAGUUAGUCUAGAUCAACCGAAGAGUAUGCAUAAAGUAUUACCCAAGGCAAAAUCCGAGAAUUCCUUCUCUUUUCUGGUUUGGAAAAGUGCAGAUUUUCAAGAAAGGAAUUUAUUGAUAUGUUAGGAAUCCAUUAUGAUAAUCAUCCGCGUCUGAAACGUAUUUUAAUGCCCGAAAGUUGGAUAGGAUGGCCUUUGCGUAAAGAUAUAUCGCCCCAAUUUAUGAAAUACAAGAUGCUCACUAAAUGAUAAAAAUAAGAAAGUAAUCAGAACUUCGACAACCCCAGAUAUUCAAGAAUAUCUGUAUGGACAUUUCUUUUUCUUAUAGAUUAGACAGAAUAUAGAGGUUUCAUUCCUACUUAAUUCUGGAUUAUGUAAAUAAGAAAUUGAUAAUAAAAAAGACAAUAAUAUAGGGAUUCAUUGAGAUUCAAAAAUGGGAUGGAGCAAUCCUUAUUUCGGACGUAGGAUGAACUGAAAAAGUUCUGCAUCAUUAACAUGUAAGAGCACAUCAGCAUCAAUUAGAUAUCUGGCUAAGAAAAAGAAAAGUACGAUUAAAUACAAAGAAUGGACCAUUUUUGAAUAAUGUAUCUCAGAUCAAUUUGACUAUUUCUCACCUAUGAACUCCCCUAGAUUCCACUUUUUUCUUCAACCACUAAUUUAACCAUUGAAUAUUGUUUCAAUUGAAAUAUAACAUUCGUUAUUGCAGCGCACACAAAAAUAGAAACAAACUUGAAUCAUUCAUUUUCAGACUUCCUUUUGAUACCUAGAAUAUACAUCUAUUCAUUCUUCAUCUAGAAAGAGCAUAUCUCCGUACACCUACAUAAAUUAUGUAGGAUGAUUAAGACCACUAAUAAAUAUCUAUCUAUU
rnacentral:lncRNA from 1 species